rnacentral:rRNA from 1 species
CCUACGGGUGGCAGCAGUGGGGAAUAUUGGACAAUGGGGGCAACCCUGAUCCAGCCAUGCCGCGUGUGUGAAGAAGGCCCUCGGGUUGUAAAGCACUUUCAGUGAGGAAGGACGCCUGGUGGUUAAUACCCAUCAGGAAAGACAUCACUCACAGAAGAAGCACCGGCUAACUCCGUGCCAGCAGCCGCGGUAAUACGGAGGGUGCGAGCGUUAAUCGGAAUUACUGGGCGUAAAGCGCGCGUAGGUGGCUUGAUAAGCCGGUUGUGAAAGCCCCGGGCUCAACCUGGGAACGGCAUCCGGAACUGUCAAGCUAGAGUGCAGGAGAGGAAGGUAGAAUUCCCGGUGUAGCGGUGAAAUGCGUAGAGAUCGGGAGGAAUACCAGUGGCGAAGGCGGCCUUCUGGACUGACACUGACACUGAGGUGCGAAAGCGUGGGUAGCAAACAGGAUUAGAUACCCGAGUAGUC